GUCGAUUUCUGGUGAGAAUUUGAUUGAGUUUUGUGAAAUUGUGUCAGGUUGAACUGCAUUUAAUGGUGUCUUUCUUGGUUUCUGAUGACGGAGGAAGUACACACUGCACAGAUUCUUUCGUGUACUUGGUAGUCCAUGCUGUUGGAGACAUUGACUAGAUCGAGAUGUUUGAGAAUAUUGUCUGAUGAAAUCACUUCUGAAGCUCUUGCUUUGUGAAGAUUGCUUGGACACGGAUUUUACCUCUUGUUGGAGCUUGAAUUAGGUGCUCCAGUCUUUUAGAUGCUGCAAUAUUCUUGUUUUCAUGUGUUACAAAUAUUCCGACAGAAAGUCUCGUGCUCCCUGUGAUAUCCAUAAAUGACAGAUUUAUGUUGGGAUAUGAAUUAUGGGUAUGGUUGUCGGCUAAAUCAAAUGUCGCACCUGUUGGAUCUAUUCAACCUGGUGACAAGAAAGGCUCUUCUGUUUCAGCAUUGGAAUAAAGAGAAAAUUCUACAUGUCAAGCGAGGGAAGAAACUUGUUACACGAGGAAACCCUAGUGUUCUGGAGCAGUUGAAGAAAGGGAUCUGACUUGUUUAUGCAAUGGGAUCCCUUCUUACUUCAGUUUGCCCC